rnacentral:rRNA from 1 species
GCCAUCUAGCUAGCCCUACCACCACUCAUGAGACCUACACACUUUUUCUCACAAACCAAAUCAUUUUAUUAAUUUAGUAAAGGAGAUUAAAAAACUUCUAGGAGCUAUAAAGAUAGUACCGCAAGGGAAAGAUGAAAUAAAAAUGAAAUAAAUUAUAAAGCAAAACAAAGUAGAGACUUACUCUUGUACCUUUUGCAUCAUGGUUUAACUAGUCUAAUCAAGCAAAAAGACCUAAAGUUUGACCCCCCGAAACUAAGCGAGCUACUUCGAGGCAGCUUUUUGAGCUAACCCACCACUGUUGCAAAAGUGGGGGGAGACCUCCAAGUAGGGGUGACAGACCUACCGAGCCUAGUGAUAGCUGGUUGCUUAAAAAAGGAUAUUAGUCCAACCUGAACCUACCUAUAGUUUUUCUAAACCACACCUUUGUUUCAGAUUCAUUCAAGUAAGGUACAGCCUGCUUGAAACAGGGCACAACCUACAUCUUUGGGUAAUCCAUUCUGCACAGCGAAUUAGUAGGCCCAAAAGCAGCCAUCUUCGAAGAUAGCGUCAAAGCUCACUCGCUAACUACCAAUUAAUUUCACCAACUAAAAAGAACCCCACUACAAUAUUAAGCAAUCCCAUAACCCUAUGGGAAAUUUUAUGUUAAAACUAGUAACAAGAAGAAGAACUUCUCUUCAGUGCAUGUGAAAAUCAGACAGAACAAACCACUGAUAUCUAACACUAUUGAAUCUUAGUAGCAACUUUUCAAGAAAACCCUAUUAACUUAUAUGUUAACCUAACGCAAGAGCACUUCAAGAAAGAUUAAAAGAAAAAGAAGGAACUCGGCAAAUUUUAACCCCGCCUGUUUACCAAAAACAUCGCCUCUCGAUCAAUUAUGGGAGGUCCAGCCUGCCCAGUGACCCUGUUCAACGGCCGCGGUAUCCUAACCGUGCGAAGGUAGCGUAAUCACUUGUUCUUUAAAUAAGGACUAGUAUGAAAGGCACCACGAGGGUUGUACUGUCUCCUUUCUCUAAUCAGUGAAACUAAUCUCCCCGUGAAGAAGCGGGGAUAAAAAUAUAAGACGAGAAGACCCUAUGGAGCUUUAAACUAUAUAAUAAUAGCUUACUUAUUUAUACAAUUUCAGAUAAACACUAUACCCUAGCUUUUUAAUUAUUAGUUUUUGGUUGGGGUGACCACGGAGAAAAAAGAAACCUCCGUAAUGAAAGACUCUCCUCCUUAGUUUUAGGACUACUUUCCUACACAUCAACAAAUUGACAUCUAUUGACCCAACAACGUUGACCAAUGAACCAAGUUACCCUAGGGAUAACAGCGCAAUCCACUUCAAGAGCCCCUAUCGACAAGUGGGUUUACGACCUCGAUGUUGGAUCAGGGUAUCCUAGUGGUGCAGCCGCUACUAACGGUUCGUUUGUUCAACGAUUAAAACCCU